GCCUCUGCAGCACCUCAGUAGCUUGCUUGUGCCUCAGCCCUCAGGUCUUUAUAGGAGACAAGCUCUCUAUCUUCAGGGUCCUCCCUGUGCUGUGCUGAAUAGCACAACCCCCACCUAACACAAGGACAACUUUGGGGGUCUCUAUACCUGUCUGGGGGUGCUUUUCCCUUGGCCCUCUGCAUUUGGGACAAAGCCUUUUGCCCAGUUGUUCUUCCAGGAGCCCAGGGGCGGGCUGGUGCUCUCCUCUUCCCAGGGAGGGGGAUGUGGGGGGGGCAGCUGCUCUGUCUCUAGCUGUUAAGCAGCUCUGAGCCCUCUUGGUUUUUUCCCUUCCCCCCUCUUCUCUUUUUUUUUAUGGCCCCUUUGCCAGUUGUAGGGAGAAGCCUCUUAAUGCAAAGCACCCUGCUCUUUUUCUGUUGGAAUGGUGGCUACCUGGCCAGUGCUGGUUGCCCUGCAGAAGUGGGAGCUGCAGAAGCAGCUGCAGCAGGGCUGAGGGGCUCUCAAGCUGCACAGCUAGGCUUGACUCCUAUUCUGUAACUGUGAGACCACACAAUUCCCUUUAGUUUUCAGAGUCUAGGGGCUUUCCCUGUGAAAUGGGAGAUGAGAGAUUUUCUCUCACCAGCUUGAGGUGAGGAUUUAAGGAGAUGAGAGUAGCUUAGCCUUCACCAGACACUUUAUAAACGCUUGUGGAGUCAGCAGUGGGACCCAGGAGGAGGGUGAUGUGUAGCAAGUGUCAUAAGACCCCAUGCUGCAUACACACUGCAAUAUCUCCUGUCAGAGCCCCCUCUGCUGGCUUAAUUGCACAAAUCAAGCCUGUCAGAGGCAGCCCUUAGCCUGGGGAGUUAAGGGAAGAUGUGGCGGCAGCAGAAAUGCCAGGCAGAGCCCAUAUCUGCAUUUACUAGCAUUUGCAUGGUAUAUAACAGCAUUUGGGAAAAGUGGACAGGCAGAGAGAGAUGUUACCUUCUUGUUACUCCCUUAAAGGGCCAGAUAAGAUAGGGAGGUUUAGGAAGAGAAGCCAUAAAGCUCAGGGCAUCCCCUUAACUGGGAAACGGCUAACACUCCAUUCAUUUACACUACCAGACAUCGCAGCACACUGACCUCCCGUGUCCCUAGAGUGAGGAUAGGGCUAAAGUGAUGAUGUCAGUUGGCCGGGCGGCCGAUCGCUCGGUCUGUCAGUCAGUCGGUCGGUCGAUCGGUCGGUCGGUCAGUCGGCUUCCUGUCUUCGUACUACAAUCAUCUUGAGGAGAAAACAAUCAGGGAGUAGUACACCACACAAGGGUGUUAGCAAUAGGGACAUCAGCCCAGAAUUCAUUUAGAAAACCUCAAAAAUAAGAGUCUCCUGAUCUACAUUGGGCUGAAGAAGAAACUGAGGCACAAAAGGUCAAGUUCCAUAACGUCUCUCAGCUGGUGUGAGGUUGAGCCAGGAUGAAACCCAGGGCUUUCCAAGGCUCCCCACCACACCCUGCUGCUGAAGACUGCCUAGCAAGAUUGUGCCGAAUGCUGGGGGCAUGAUGUGGGUGGGCAGAAGAUGGAUUGAACCUCCCAGCACACUUGAGAUCUCAGCUCUUUCAUGGCCCAAUCCUUUUGAAGGGCAGGGUCAAAAUUAGGUGUAAGCAUCUAUAGUUAGAGGCUAAUGAAGGUAGUGUUAUUAACCUGAUGAGAAAAGGAUCCCUAUUUAUCAGUAAUCAAAUUUAGGGUAGAAAGUGGGGGCAUGGGGCUUGUUGGUACAGAGGUGAGUUAGAAAGAACAAAAUGUUCUGGGGCUCUGGUGAGCUUUCUGUUGGAAAGUGUCAGCUCUGAGUAGCUGGGGCUUAGGGCUGGGAAUAGAGACCUCCUAAGGCAGGGUCCUCAUCUCAGGGAAGUGCCCUACAUUGAACAUUAUGGUGGGUGGGGGACCCUAGCACCUCAGACAAAAACCGGGAAUCUGAGCCUCCUCUCAUCUCAAUUUCCCAUUUGUAAGAGAAAAAUAAAAACCAAGCAUCAAUCUAAGAGGGUAUUCCACUUAUGUGUGAGAGAAAGGGGCACCAAGCAUCAUUCUAAGAGAUAAUUCCACUCCUGUGUGAGAAAAAAAGGCACCAAGCAUCACUCUAAGAGAUAAUUCCACUGCUGUGUGAGACAAAGAGGCACCAAGCAUCAUUCUGAGAGAUAAUUCCACUCCUUUGUGACAGAAAGGGGCUCCCAACAUCAUCCUAAGAGACAAUUCCACUCCUGUGUGAGAAAUGGGAACACCUAGCAUCAUUGUAAGAGAUGACCCACUCCUGUGUGAGAGAAGGGGGCACCUAGCAUCAUUCUAGAGAUGACCCACUCCUGUGUGGGAGAAAGGGGUACCUAGCAUCAUUCUAAGAGACAAUUCCACUCCUUUAUGAGAGAAGGAGGUACCUAGCAUCAUUCUAAGACACAAUUCCACUCCUGUGUGAGAGAAAGGGGCACCUAGAAUCAUUUGAAGAGAUGACCCACUGCUCUGUGAGAGAAAGGGGUACAUUUCUACUCCUAUGUGAGACAAAGGGGUACCUAGCAUCAUUCUAAGAGAAGACCCACUCCUGUGUGGGAGAAAGGGCACCUAGCAUCAUUUUUGAGACAAUUCCAUUCCCUUGUGAGAGGAAGAAGCACCUAGUAUCAUUCUAAGAGACAAUUAAACUUGUGUGUCAGAGAAAGGGGUACUUAGCAUCAUUCUAAUAGAUCAUUACACUCCUGUGUGAGAGAAAGGGGCACCUAGCAUCAUUCGAAGAGAUGACCCACUGCUCUGUGAGAGAAAGGGCACCUAGUAUCAUUCUAAGAGACAAUUAAACUUGUGUGUCAGAGAAAGGGGUACUUAGCAUCAUGUUAAGAGACAAUUCUACUCAUGUGUGAGAGAAAGGGGUAUCUAGAAUCAUUUUAAGAGAUGACCAACUCCUUUGUAAAAAAAAAAAAGGCACCUAACAUCAUUCUAAGAGACAAUUUCAUUCAUGUGUGAGAGAAAGGGGUACUUAGCAUCAUUCUAAGAGAAGACCCACUCCUGUGUGGGAGAAAGGAGCACCUAGCAUCAUUUUUAAGACAAUGCCAUUCUCCUGUGAGAGGAAGGAGCACCUAGUAUCAUUCUAAGAGACAAUUAAACUUUUGUGUCAGAGAAAGGGGUACUUAGCAUCAUGUUAAGAGACAGUUCCACUCCUGUGUGAGAGAAAGGGCACCAAGCAUCAUUCUAAGAGACAAUUCCACUCGUGUGUCAGAGAAAGGGCUACCUAGCAUCAUGUUAAGAGACAAUUCCACUCAAGCGUGAGAAAAAGGGGCACCGCAUAUCAUUCUAAGAGAUGACCCACUGCUUUGUGAGAGAAAGGGGUACUUAGCAUCAUUCUAAGAGAUGACCCGUUCCCUCAUGAGAGAAAGGGGCACCUCACAUCAUUGUAAGAGAUGAUCCACUCCUGUGUCAGAGAACGGGGGACCAAGCAUCAUUCUAAGGGACAUAUCUAAACCUGUGUGAGAGAAAGGGGUACUUAGCAUCAUUCCAAGAGACAAUUCCACUGCUGUGUGAGAGAAGGGGGUACCUAGCAUCAUUUAAGAGACAAUUCCACUGCUGUUUGAAAGAAAGGGAUAUGUAGCAUCAUUCCAAGAGACAAUUCCACUCCUGUCUGAGCGAAAAGGGUACUUAGCAUCAUUGUAAGUGAUGACCCACUCCUGUGUCAGAGAAAUGGUCACCAAGCAUCAUUCUAAGAGACAAUUCCUCUCCCGUGUGAGAGAAGGGGGCACCUAGCAUCAUUCUAAGAAACAAAUCCACUCCUGUGUGAGAGAAAUUGUAACCAAGCAUCAUUCUAAGAAACAGUUACACUCCUGUGUGAGAGAAAUAGAAACCGAGCAUCAUUCUAAAAGACAAUUCCACUCCUGUGUUUGAGGUGGGGGCGCCUAGCAUCAUUCUAAGAGAUGACCCACUCCUGUGUUAGAGAAGAGGGCACCUAGCAUCAUUCUAAGGGACAAUUUCACUCCCGUGUGAGAGUAAUAGUAACCAAGCAUCAUUCUAAGAUACAGUUGCACUCCUGUGUGAGAGAAAUUUUAACCAAACAUCAUUUUAAGAUACAGUUCCACUCCUGUGUGAGAGAAAUUGUAACCAAGCAUCAUUCUAAAAGACAAUUCCACUCCUGUGUUACAGAAAGAGGCACCAAGUAUCAUUCUAAGCAACAUUUCCACUCCUGUGUUUGAGGUGGGGGCGCCUAGCAUCAUUCUAAGAGAUGACCCACUCCUGUGUUAGAGAAGAGGGCACCUAGCAUCAUUCUGAGAAAGAAUUCCACUCCUGUGUGAGAGAAAGGGGCACCAAGCAUCAUUCUAAGGGACAAUUUCACUCCCGUGUGGGAGAAAGGGGCACCAA